GUGACAGAUUCUGAUGUCAUUUGCCAUGAGCUUUAUUAUUGUGCAGGUAAUUUUGGAUCAAAUCACCCUAACGUUUUUCAACAAAGACUUUAGAAGAAAUAAAGCUGCAUUACUUUUUCUUGGCGCAUUCUUCCUUUAGGACCUAUAGUGAGGACCCACCCAACAGUGGCCUCAGCUUGGGGACAUCUGGAGUCGCAUCCACCAUGAGGACGAAGCCUCCUUCUCUUCUGGACCUGCCCAGGAGUGGCCGUUGCUACAAGACCUCUGUUGCUACGUCCAGGGUGAGAAUAAAGACUUCUCCUCAGGACUCUCCCAGGAGAAGACAUGGCAUUGAGACAUCUGGUGGCCAGGGAGACAUGAGACAUCAAUCAAACGCAUGAAGAUGUACAUUGGUUUGGUCCAGAAAGGACGCACAACUUGAAAAUAGCCAUGGUGCAGGUCUGGGCUUUCAAGUUACAGGAAACUUUGGAAAAUAGUGGAAAGUGACCAAUUCAAGUCUAUUUCAUGGGAUGAGAAUGGAACUUGCAUAGUGAUUAAUGAAGAACUCUUCAAGAAAGAAAUUUUGGAAACAAAGGCUCCUUACAGAAUAUUUCAAACUGAUGCUAUCAAAAGUUUUGUUCGACAGCUCAACCUUUAUGGAUUUAGUAAAAUUCAACAGAAUUUUCAAAGAUCUGCCUUUCUAGCCACCUUUCUGUCAGAAGAGAAAGAAUCGUCUGUCUUAAGCAAGGUAUUUGACAUAUUUGAGUUACCACUUUAUGUAAAGUAUAUAUGUAAUUUUACUUUGUACAUCAGUAAAUAUGUUAAUACAUGCAGUAAGACCAGCUUUUGAAAAUUAUAUAAAAUAUUAAGGUAGAAAUUUUGUUUUGAAAUUAUUGUGUUCAGCUUGAGCGUUAACCUUUUAGUGUUUUAAGAAAUUUUGCUAACAACUUUGAAUCUUACCAGUGAAUUCCAAAUAAAUGUACCAAAGCCACUUAAUGAAAUAUUACUAUUAAUAUAUAACAUGUUUUCACUUGAGGGCUUAACAACUUGAGUGGUUUUUCACAAUAAGCACAUUCUUAAAAAUAGUAAACGAUGUUUAUGAGUUAUUUGAUGACAUUAAAUUUGUGUGAUGAAAGAGAAAUCUGAUA
ensembl:lncRNA TTTY14 testis expressed transcript, Y-linked 14